AUUGAACGCUGGCGGCAGGCCUAACACAUGCAAGUCGAGCGGAGCGGCGGACGGGUGAGGAAUGCCUAGGAAUCUGCCUGGUAGUGGGGGAUAACGUCCGGAAACGGGCGCUAAUACCGCAUACUAUCAGAUGAGCCUAGGUCGGAUUAGCUAGUUGGUGGGUUAAAGGCCUACCACGGCGACGAUCCGUAACUGGUCUGAGAGGAUGAUCAGUCAAACUGGAACUGGGACAGGGUCCAGACUCCUACGGAAGGCAGCAGUGGGGAAUAUGGGACAAUGGGCGAAAGCCUGAUCCGCACAUGCCGGGGAUGUGAAGAAGGUCUUCGGAUUGUAAAGCACUUGAAGUUGGGAGGCGGUACCAACAGAAUAAGCACCGGCUAACUGCGUGCCAGCCGCCGCGGUAAUUC
rnacentral:rRNA from 1 species